rfam:Gorilla gorilla gorilla genomic chromosome, chr16, whole genome shotgun sequence
GCUGGGUGCAGUGGCGUGCACCUGUAGUCCCAGCUGCUCAGGAGGCUGAGGCAGGGGAAUCGCUUGAAUACAGGUCUUGAACUGUUGCAGUGAGCUGAGAUCACGCCACUACACUCCAGCCUGGGUGAUAGAGUGAGACCCUGUCUCAA